CAACCAUUCCCAUUCCAUUCAUUGAGUCUUGGACCUGCUCCUCAGGUUCUGUCAUUUUAGUUCUUUUCUCUGAAACUUGACUUUCUUGAAAACUUUUUCAGAUCUUUUUGGGUAUGGUUCAAAACCAGCUAAAAGAAUAUAUGAGUCCAAAAUCUCUUAUCUUGGCUUAGAGGAUAUCAGUAUCCCUUUGAAUGACAAAUCCCAGAAUGCCACCCAGUUCUCAAAAUACUAUGGGUACUAGUAGUGUAGGUGGACUGCCCAUUGGUUAUUUUGGUUUUCUGGUCAUGUGCUUUAUAAAAUUAUAGAUUGGAGGCUGGAAGGUCUCUUAGAGAUCAUCCAGCCUGACCUACUCAUUUUAUGGAUAAUGAAACUGAGGACCAGACAAAUUGUGACUUGUGCAAGGUCACAAAGGUAACAAGCAACAAAGUUAGGACUUUCUGAUGAUAUCCUUAAUGAAGCUUCUCCUACAUAAUUCCUUCUGUUGCAUCCUGCUCAUAUCCAUCAUGUGUCUCUCUAUUCCCCUUUAGGUGACCUGCAACUUCAUUCUUUGGCAAUUUUGGUAUCGCACAACUCAUGGUUAUAGAAUAUAACUAGAAGUACAUUGGUGUUAAAAAGGACUCAAUGUGCUAAAUGACCAACAUAUUGAGAUUAAUAGCUCCAGGGAAGACCACUUGGUGUAAAGAAUGACCCUUGAGAUUCCUACAAGUAAGAUUUCAGUCAAAACCUCAAAGACCAAGAAUUAUCAGCAUUAUUGGAGAAACUAUGAUCGUCUGUGUUGGUCAGAUCACUUUUGCACUCUUUAUGUUCAGUUCUUGGAGCCAUGGUUCAUGAGAACAUUAACAAAUGGGAAUACAUCCAGCGGAGACACAGUGAAAGCUGGUAAGGAAUUGGGGAUGAUUAGCCUGGAAAAGCGACAAUUUCAAGGCAUAAUAGCUAUCUGCAUGGUAUAAUGGAAAGAGAACUGUGAUUCAGACUUGGGUUCAAAUUCCAUUUAUGAUCCUAGCAAUUUGGCCCUGAGCAAGCACUCUAGGGCCCCAUUUCCUUAGCUUUAAAACAGG
rnacentral:lncRNA from 1 species